rnacentral:rRNA from 1 species
UACGUAGGGCGCAAGCGUUGUCCGGAAUUAUUGGGCGUAAAGAGCUCGUAGGUGGUUUGUUACGUCCGCUGUGAAAACCUAGGGCUUAACCCUGGGCCUGCAGUGGAUACGGGCAGACUAGAGGUAGGUAGGGGAGAAUGGAAUUCCCGGUGUAGCGGUGAAAUGCGCAGAUAUCGGGAGGAACACCGGUGGCGAAGGCGGUUCUCUGGGCCUUACCUGACACUGAGGAGCGAAAGCGUGGGGAGCGAACAGG